GCGUGGCUCCGCCCACAUUCCGCCCUACGGUAGCCUAUAAAUGGUGGCGCCAGCGACUUUGUAUUUCACUUCUAACUUGGUGCACUUUCGCGCUCUCCGGCCCUUCGAAGUUCGAAAAGUUUCGCUGUCCGUUGCUCCGCUGAGAAGCUAAGAAACCAAAAUGCUGAACAAGAACAUCGCUAUUGCCGUCGCCGUGGUCCUGGCCAUCGUCUGCCUGGCUGAAGCCAGGGAGGAAGGUCCUCACGACAUGGCCGACGCACUCCGCAUGCUGCAAGAACUGGACCGCUACUAUACUCAGGCUGCUAGACCCAGGAUUGACCGCCGCGACGUUGCGGACGAAGACCGCGUCGAUCCAGACUUGUUAAAUCGCGCUGUGCGGCUCCUCGUGCUGCAGAAAUUAGACAACAUUUACUCCUACCACACCCGACCAAGGUUUGGCAAACGCUCUGAUGCCUACACGAACUGGGCCAAGGAUCUCGAGAAGCCGGACUUACCUGCCUGGCUGUCGUACGCCAGAAGGAGAUGAGGAGUGCAACAGUCUCGGGAUCCAUAUAAAUAACCAUGUCAUUUAAAUCAAUGUUCGUGAUUACUGUUACAGUUCUAACGUUUAAGUACCACAUUCCAAGUAAAUCUAUCCUUUAACGUGUACGUUAUAUCCCAUUA
rnacentral:misc_RNA from 1 species